CCGGUACAGAGUCAAUGUGGAGGCUAUUUACAGGGUGUUACGGUACAGAGUCAAUGUGGAGGCUAUAUACAGGGUGUUACGGUACAGAGUCAAUGUGGAGGCUAUAUACAGGGUGUUACGGUACAGAGUCAAUGUGGAGGCUAUAUACAGGGUGUUACGGUACAGAGUCAAUGUGGAGGCUAUUUACAGGGUGUUACGGUACAGAGUCAAUGUGGAGGCUAUAUACAGGGGUACCAGUACAGAGUCAAUGUGGAGGCUAUAUACAGGGUGUUAUGGUACAGAGUCAAUGUGGAGGCUAUAUACAGGGGUACCAGUACAGAGUCAAUGUGGAGGCUAUAUACAGGGUGUUAUGGUACAGAGUCAAUGUGGAGGCUAUAUACAGGGGAUACCGGUACAGAGUCAAUGUGGAGGUUAUAUACAGGGGAUACCGGUACAGAGUCAAUGUGGAGGCUAUAUACAGGGGGUACCAGUACAGAGUCAAUGUGGAGGCUAUAUACAGGGGGUACCGGUACAGAGUCAAUGUGGAGGCUAUAUACAGGGGGUACCGGUACAGAGUCAACGUGGAGGCUAUAUACAGGGGAUACCAGUACAGAGUCAAUGUGGAGGCUAUAUACAGGGGAUACCGGUACAGAGUCAAUGUGGAGGCUAUAUACAGGGGGUACCAGUACAGAGUCAAUGUGGAGGCUAUAUACAGGGGGUACC
ensembl:lncRNA